rnacentral:rRNA from 1 species
UAGAGUUUGAUCCUGGCUCAGGAUGAACGCUGGCGGCGUGCUUAACACAUGCAAGUCGAACGAAGCUCCGACACUUGAGAUUUCGGUCAAGGGUGAAGGAAGACUUAGUGGCGGACGGGUGAGUAAUGCGUGAGCAACCUGCCCUUCGGAGGGGGACAACAGUUGGAAACGACUGCUAAUACCGCAUAAUGUAUCGAGAAGGCAUCUUCAUGAUACCAAAGAUUUAUCGCCGAAGGAUGGGCUCACGUCUGAUUAGUUAGUUGGUGGGGUAAUGGCCUACCAAGACUGCGAUCAGUAGCCGGACUGAGAGGUUGACCGGCCACAUUGGGACUGAGAUACGGCCCAGACUCCUACGGGAGGCAGCAGUGGGGAAUAUUGGGCAAUGGGCGCAAGCCUGACCCAGCAACGCCGCGUGAAGGAAGAAGGCUUUCGGGUUGUAAACUUCUUUUAGCAGGGACGAAGACGUGACGGUACCUGCAGAAUAAGCUCCGGCUAACUACGUGCCAGCAGCCGCGGUAAUA